rnacentral:rRNA from 1 species
GAUGAACGCUAGCUACAGGCUUAACACAUGCAAGUCGAGGGGUAACGAGAGGAAAGCUUGCUUUCCUUGUCGACGACCGGCGCACGGGUGAGUAACGCGUAUCCAACCUGCCCCCAACUAGGGAAUAACCUUGCGAAAGUAAGACUAAUACCCUAUAAUUUCCUCAGAUGUCAUCUGACGAGGAAUAAAGAUUUAUCGGUUGUGGAUGGGGAUGCGUCUGAUUAGCUUGGUGGCGGGGUAACGGCCCACCAAGGCAACGAUCAGUAGGGGUUCUGAGAGGAAGGUCCCCCACAUUGGAACUGGGACACGGUCCAAAGUCCUACGGGAGGCAGCAGUGAGGAAUAUUGGUCAAUGGGCGGAAGCUUGAACCAGCCAAGUAGCGUGCAGGAUGACGGCCCUAUGGGUUGUAAACUGCUUUUAUACAGGAAUAAAGUUAGCCACGUGUGGUUAUUUGUAGGUACUGUAUGAAUAAGGACCGGCUAAUUCCGUGCCAGCAGCCGCCGUAA